UACGUAGGGUGCAAGCGUUAAUCGGAAUUACUGGGCGUAAAGCGUGCGCAGGCGGUUGUGCAAGACCGAUGUGAAAUCCCCGGGCUUAACCUGGGAAUGGCAUUGGUGGACUGCACGGCUAGAGUGUGUCAGAGGGGGGUAGAAUUCCACGUGUAGCAGUGAAAUGCGUAGAGAUGAUGGAGGAAUACCGAUGGCGAAGGCAGCCCCCUGGGAUAACACUGAACGCGUCAUGCA
rnacentral:rRNA from 1 species